UGGGUGGGCUCUUGUGCGCGCGCUCACGCGCGUGGGCACGCUGGUGUAAGGAGUGGGAGAUCGCGAGCAUCUCGGAGGCGGGAGGACUGGAGGGCUGCAGGCACAGCGAAGCACAAAGUGUGUGGGAAGUGGGGGAAAAGAACAGGUGGCUGGAGCUGAGAUGCAGAAGGCCGGAGCAGAGCGGGGUGGGAAAUAGGGCGAGGCUCCGCACAUGCGUAAUUGGGGUAUAAGGAGAAGGGUGGGGCUCAAGGGAUGCGCAGGCCUACAGAAGAAAGCGAGAAGAGGAAGGGCGCAUGCGCGGUGAGAAAAGCCUGCAAGAGGGGCGGAGCCAGAAACCCGCAGCCCUACCCCGCCCUGCCAGGAUGGUGCUGCCUUCCCUGAAGCUGCCGGAGUUGAUCCAGGAGAUCCGCGGGGCCAAGACUCAGGCCCAGGAGCGGGAGAUCAUCCAGAAGGAGUGUGCCCACAUCCGGGCCGCCUUCCGCGAGGGCGACGCCCCCCAGCGCCACCGCCAGCUUGCCAAACUCCUCUACGUCCACAUGCUGGGCUACCCCGCCCACUUUGGACAGAUGGAGUGCCUGAAGCUGAUUGCAUCACCCCGAUUCACAGACAAAAGGGUGGGCUACCUGGGGGCAAUGCUGCUGCUGGAUGAGAGACAGGAUGCCCACCUGCUCAUAACCAACAGCAUUAAAAAUGACCUGAGCCAAGGGACCCAACCAGUGCAGGGGUUGGCACUAUGUACCCUAAGCACCAUGGGCUCAGCAGAGAUGUGCCGAGAUCUGGCUAAUGAAGUAGAAAGGCUGCUGUUGAGGCCCAGUCCUUACAUCAGAAAGAAGGCAGUGUUGGCUGCAGUGCACAUGAUCCGGAAGGUCCCAGAGCUCUCUGACAUCUUUCUCCCUCCCUGUACCCAGCUGCUGCGUGAACGACACCAUGGUAUCCUGAUGGGAACAAUCACAUUGAUUACAGAACUAUGUGAACGAAGCCCUGUUGCUCUCACACAUUUCCGACAGGUAGUACCCCAGCUGGUUCAGAUCCUUCGCACCCUGGUGAUGUCAGGAUAUUCAGCAGAGCAUAGCGUGGCUGGGAUCAGCGACCCUUUCCUUCAGGUUAAGAUAUUGAGACUACUUCGGAUUUUAGGCCGAAACCAUGAGGAAAGCAGUGAAGCCAUGAAUGACAUGCUGGCCCAGGUGGCCACCAACACAGACACAAGUCGGAAUGCUGGCAAUGCAGUGUUAUAUGAGACAGUGCUCACCAUUGUGGACAUCCGUUCUGCCUCUGGCCUGCGGGUUCUUGCUGUCAACAUCCUUGGCCGCUUCCUGCUCAACAGUGACAAGAACAUCAGGUAUGUGGCCUUGACCUCUCUGCUUCGACUGGUACAGUCAGAUCACAGCGCUGUGCAGAGGCAUCGGCCCACUGUGGUGGAGUGUCUGAGGGACCCUGAUGCCUCCCUUAGUCGGCGGGCACUAGAAUUGAGCUUGGCUCUUGUGAAUAGUUCUAAUAUUCGGUCCAUGACCCAGGAGCUACAAGGUUUCCUGGAGUCCUGCCCUGCGGAUCUUCGGGCAGAUUGUGCAUCCGGCAUCCUGCUGGCUGCAGAGAGGUUUGCCCCAACAAAGCGCUGGCAUAUAGAUACUAUAAUGCAAGUGCUGACCAGUGCAGGUGCCCAUGUGCGAGAUGAUGCAGUGGCCAACUUAACUCAAUUGAUUGGAGGGGCAGAGGAACUUCACGCUUACUCUGUUUGUCAGCUGUACAAUGCCCUAGCUGCAGACAUUUCCCAGCAACCACUGGUACAAGUAGCUGCCUGGUGCAUUGGGGAAUAUGGGGAUCUUCUGCUGUCUGGAAGCUGUGAGGAGAUUGAACCCCUGCAGGUUCAGGAAGAAGAAGUGCUAACACUGCUAGAGAAGGUAUUGCAGUCCCACUUAUCCUUGCCAGCUACCCGUGGUUAUGCCCUCACUGCCCUUAUGAAGCUCAGCACCAGGCUCCAAGGAGACAACAACCGCAUCCGACAAAUAGUAUCCAUCUAUGGAAGUUGCUUGGAUAUAGAGUUACAACAGAGGGCUGUGGAAUACAAUGCUUUGUUCCGGAAGUAUGACCAUAUGAGACCAGCGAUCUUGGAGAAGAUGCCUCUUGUGGAACAUGGUGGACCCCAAGAUGAUGAGGCAGGAGAAGGCAAAGAAGAGCCUUGGAACCCAAACAGAGAGAGCCAAUCUCCCACUAAGACCCCGACUGCAAACCUUUUAGACCUCUUGGAUCUCCUAGAUGGUGCCAGUGGGGAUGCCCAGCCACCUCCUGCUUUGGAUCUAAUGCCAGGAGACUCCUUAUUACACCUGCUGGAUCUUCCUUCCACUACUCCUUCCUUAGCACUCAUCCCAAGUCUAAAGGUGUUUGACCGAGAAGGACUACAGAUAAAUCUGUCUUUUGUUCGUCCUCCUGAGAUACCUGCCCUGCUUCUGAUUACUGCAACUGCCAUCAACACCUCCAAGAGUGAUGUCACCCAUUUUGUGUGUCAGGCCGCCGUGCCUAAGAGUUUCCAACUGCAGCUGCAGAUACCCAGUGGAGACACAGUUCCAGCUCAGGGAGGCCCUCCCAUCACACAGGUCCUCAGAGUCCUCAAUCCUAACAAGGCCCCUUUGCGGAUGAGACUGAAACUCACAUACAACCACUUUGGACAGUCAGUACAAGAGAUCUUUGAGGUGAAGGACUUCCCCCCAGACACGUGGCAAUGAUGAGACAGAUAUGCUUCCUUAGCCUGAGCAGGAAGAAGUCCCAGCCUCUCCAGAAAGGCCCUAGACCACCUAGGAGCAGGUGGGGCUUGAAGUCACUCUUCCCUAGGGCUACCAGUAGGUGGCAAUCUGCUUCCAUGAUUCCCUAUUGCAGAGACAGAUUGGGUUAUGGGGGCUCAGAUCUCCCCCCUUGGCCAUGAAGGAUUACAAUAAACUUGGGAGAAAAAAGCCAUGUCUAGGUCUGUUCUGGGGACAAUGCCCUCGAAAACAACAGACAGCAAGGAAUGGAACCUCACAAGAACAAAGUUUCUACCCCUGAGCCUUGGGAACAGUCCAAAAACAGAAAUCUUUCUUUGUCCCAAACUACAAGACAGAAAUUUACCUCAAAACUCACACAAGACCCAAUUUACCAUCAUGGGUCAAAGGAGGACACAACUAUCGGUGAAAUCAGAAUAUUGGUUUUUCUGGCAGAUCCUCCUACCUCUUUUCCCUUCAUCAACACUCCCCUCUACCCCAGCCAGGGAAAUCCCUACUGCUUGCCCUCAUCUCUAACUCAGCUGUAAGGCGGUUAGGAGCCGCUGGCAGAAUCAAUGGCAUCGACCAAGGGGGGGCCGGCGAGGGAUUUUCCUGUGCUUAACUACUGAUCACGGCUAAGUGGAAAUCCUAUAAACACGAGCGGAAAUCAAUGGAGGCUGCUUAGCAGCUGGGGGAGAGGGGCAGCCCACAGAUUGCAUCUGACGGAUGAAGGAAAGGAGAUAAAAGUAACAAGCCCAGAAAGAAGAAGUGAUAUGACCAAGAUGUCACAGGAAGUAAAACUGGAAUUCUACCUUUGGAAUGUUCUUCCCACCACAUCACCUCUUUCCUUAAGGGACCCAGGUCUACUUUCUAAGCUGAGGCUAUUUCUGCUAAACUAUACUUGAGUGAAAAAACACAUUGGCCUGGCCAUUUUCUGUCUCUUUAUUCAUAUGAGCCUUGUUUUCUUGUCUAAAGUAAAGGAGAUGGCCUAGAUCCACAUUCUUAAAGUAAUUUGGCCACAGAACUCUAGGCCUUAAAAUAUGUUGACUGAACCUAUAAAUGGCACUUAUAGGGCUAGACUAUCCCCAAGAAUAAAGGAAGAAGUGGGUUAAAGUGUAGAACAAAAUAAGCCAAUUUUCA